ensembl:lncRNA PPP5D1P PPP5 tetratricopeptide repeat domain containing 1, pseudogene
GUCACUAUUGGGCCUGGCCCAUGGCGGAAAUGAGAGCUUGGCGCCCAUUGGUCCGACCUUCCCUGCAAUGCGUCAAACUGGGGCGAGCCACUGCAAGGUGGUGGUGGGUGGUCAAGGUGAAGCCCCACGACAAGGAUGCCAAAAUGAAAUACCAGGAGUGCAACAAGAUCGUGAAGCAGAAGGCCUUUGAGCGGGCCAUCGCAGGCGACGAGCACAAGCGCUCCGUGGUGGACUCGCUGGACAUCGAGAGCAUGACCAUCGAGGGUGAGUACAGCGGACCCAAGCUUGAGGACGACAAAGUGACAAUCACCUUCAUGAAGGGGCUCAUGCAGUGGUACAAGGACCAGAAGAAACUGCACCAGAAAUGCGCCUACCAGGAUUUCAGACAAAAAUCAGGAAUCAUCACCAGCCAAGACUGUGUUCAGACCACGUGACGUCUUCCAGGCACCAGGAAGAAAUACGACCAACCUCCGUAACAAAUGAGAGAAACUUCACCUGACUGUGUUUUGUGCAUUUGGUUUAUGAGUCGUUUUAAAAACGUGUACUUUUACUGCUGCGUUCAGGUUUUCAGCCAUAGAAUAUUCUAGAAAAAAAUAGUGAUAACAUUUAUUUCACCGCUAUAACCCUGAAUGUGUAGCUGUGUUUUUUAAAAAAACAUUUUUUUACAAUUGUAGAAUAUGUAACAUGCCUCCAGAAACGUGCCCUAAACACAAAUAUAUAAUUUGGCAAAUAAUUACAUAGCAAGUCCUAUGUUACUGUCAUCUGAUCUAGAAAUCAUCGUCCUCCCAGAAGCCCCUCAUGUGCUCUGGCCAUCUCAAAUCCCUCCCUGCCCCAGGGAUAAAUAACAUCCUGUUUUGUGAUAAACGCUGCCUUUUCUAUACACGUGUAUGCUUAUUAACAAACUAUGAAUUUCUCCACACGGUAGAUUUGAUUAUGUUUGAAUCUUACAUGAAUGUAAUCCUAUUGGUGGAUUGUUUUUAAUGUAUGUGUGUGUGUGUUUCAGAAAAAAUACAUUAAGAAAAGAAAAGGA